AAGCAAGCAAGAUCGAUAGGUAGAACGGAAGAGAAAGUCCUCGAUUCUCUUCAGUCAGGUGAAGGUAUAGUCUGCGCCACGUGAAAACGUGGAUUUACGUGAAGUUCCGACCUGCACGAAUGGCGUAACGACUUUCCUACUGUCUCAACCAUAGACCCAGCGAAAUUGAAGUACGAGUAAAGAUGCUCGUUAGCUGCAGAAGGACGGAAAGACCCCGUGGACCUUUACUACAGCUUGGUAUUGGUAUUUGUUAUGCGUUGUGUAGGAUAGGUGGGAGACUUUGAAGCGUUGGCGCUAGCCGAUGUGGAGUCAACCUUGAAAUACCACCCUGCGUUUGACGGAUAUCUAACCUGGGCCCGUAAUCCGGGCUGGGAACAGUGCCAGGUGGGUAGUUUGACUGGGGCGGUCGCCUCCUAAACGGUAACGGAGGCGCCCAAAGGUUCCCUCAGUCUGGUUGGCAAUCAGACGUCGAGUGCAAUGGCACAAGGGAGCUUGACUGCGAGACUAACAAGUCGAGCAGGUGCGAAAGCAGGGCAUAGUGAUCCGGCGGUUGCGUGUGGAAGCGCCGUCGCUCAACGGAUAA
rnacentral:rRNA from 1 species